CCUCUCCUUCUCAAGUUCUAUGAGCAGCUGCGCAAUCUCAUUUUCUCAUUCACAAUUACAAAAUCAGCAAUUUGCACUUCCAGAAACUUCUAUCCCGUGAUAAAAUUCCUCAAACAACGUCAACAAAAUACUCAAAAAAACCACUUCAAUAGAGGAACAUGCAACCACAUUAUGAGUUUCGCAGUAUUACUCUCAAAUCUGCUAGAAUCCCAACCAAAAACACAAUUGUGCAUCCCAUACCUAGCUUGAGCCACAGAAUCAGAAAGACAUCUAUUUAGAAUGAUGCAAAAUUUGGAAGACGGUGAAAGAAAUUGUAAGAUAAUAGAUCUUAUAAUUUCCACAUUCCAGAAGACAAUGAAAACCAUAGAAAAGCACCAAACCACACAAAUAAAGCAACAAAGGAAGAUACCAAUUUGAAUAUGCUUGCAUGCAACAUAUGGAAGACAGAUAUGCAAAGUCAUGUUGCUAUGCGUUGUGCUCUCUGGGGUGAAAAUGUUGAUUCAUUUUUGAGCCAGCGUGAUUCGCAGAUGAUAGUUCCAAUUGUAUUGGUUCAGUUUUGCAAGGCUUCUAGAUUUAAUGGUCAAAUAUGAUGUGGGACUGUUUACAAUGCUUCCAAAGUGUGCUUGAACAACGAUAAAAGCGUUAUAAAUCAGUUUUGGCAAAGGUGAUUUAUAUGGUUUAUAUUCUACAUUCAAUAUUCAAUUAAUAGUUAAGUAUUUCCAUCCACUCAA